AGAGCGAACGCUGGCGGCAGGCUUAACACAUGCAAGUCGAGCGGGCGUAGCAAUACGUCAGCGGCAGACGGGUGAGUAACGCGUGGGAACGUACCUUUUGGUUCGGAACAACCCAGGGAAACUUGGGCUAAUACCGGAUAAGCCCUUACGGGGAAAGAUUUAUCGCCGAAAGAUCGGCCCGCGUCUGAUUAGCUAGUUGGUGAGGUAAUGGCUUACCAAGGCGACGAUCAGUAGCUGGUCUGAGAGGAUGAUCAGCCACAUUGGGACUGAGACACGGCCCAAACUCCUACGGGAGGCAGCAGUGGGGAAUAUUGGACAAUGGGCGCAAGCCUGAUCCAGCCAUGCCGCGUGAGUGAUGAAGGCCCUAGGGUUGUAAAGCUCUUUUGUGCGGGAAGAUAAUGACGGUACCGCAAGAAUAAGCCCCGGCUAACUUCGUGCCAGCAGCCGC
rnacentral:rRNA from 1 species